AGUUAGUGUCUUGUGACUGCGCUGACGUCACUCUUACGCAACUCUUUCGAAUAGUUUUUCCUUUCAUGGACAGCGCUCAUUAACCACAAUCCAUUUCACAGCAGGAGCAAGCUUUAAUUAAUCUAUUUUAAUGUAUUUGGCAUUGUGUGUUUUAUGCUCAUUAAUUUAGCUCACUACACGUUGCGAUGCUCGGCAUCCUGUUUAUCUGAGUGAAGAGCUUUCCCGGACAGUGCUGCCAGCACUUUUCAGGGUCACGGGGGAGCCUGGAGCCUAUCCCAGGGGACACCAUGGACAGGGUGCCAAUCCAUUGCAGGGCACAAUCGUGCACAAACACAAAAACACAACAAACAAUUUAGAGAUUCCAAUCAGCCUACAACACAUGUCUUUGGAGGAAGGGGAAGGAAACCGGAGAACCUGGAGGAAACCCCCGAAGCACAGGGAAAACAUGCAAACUCCCUGCACAGGCCGGAGGAGGGAAUCAAAUGUUUGGGUUUCACCUGUAAAGACUUAAUUUGUUGUUAACAAGGAUAAACCAACAUGAAGACCAGAGAACUGUCUAUGGGAGAAAACCAAGCCAUUCUGAAGCUAAGAAAAGAGGGAAAAAACAAUCAGAGCCAUUGCACAAGCAUUGGGCAUAGCCAAUACAACUAUUUGGAAUGUCCUAAAAAAAAAAAAAAAAACACUGGUGUAUUAAGAACCAGACAUGGAACAGUUCAGUCAAGGAAUACAGCAGCAGUUGAUGACAGAAACAUUGUGAAAGCUGUGAAGAAAAACCCAAAAACAACAGACAUCACUAACAACCUCCACUGGGCAGGGGUCAAGGUAUCACAAUCCACCAAGUCCCCUCCAAAACUAUUGGAAUGACAAGGCCAAUUCAUUUGUUUGUGCUAUACAUCAAAGACAUUUGGGUUUGAGAUCAAAAGAUGGAUAUGAGACGAGAGUUUAGGAUCUCAGCUUUUAUUUCCUGGUAUUUACAAGUAGACGUGUUAAACAAAAUAAAACAUAGAACCUUUUGUAUCAGACCAGCCAAUUUUUAGGCAAGCAAAAGUAUAGGAACAGAUAAGUCUUCAAGUAAAUUAAAUAACAGUUAAUAUUUGGUUGCAUAUCCCUUGCUUGCAAUAACUGCAUCAAGCCAGCGACUCACUGACAUCACCAAAUUGUAGGGUUCUUCUUUUGUGAUGCUUUCCAGGCUUUUACUGCAGCUUCUUUCGGCUGUUGUUUGUUUCAGGGGGUUUGUCCCUUCAGUUUCCUCUUCAGGAGGUGAAGUGCUGCUCAAUUGGUUUAAGGUCAGUUGGUCUAUGGCCAGUCUAAAACCUUCCACUUUUGUGGAAGUCCUUUGUUGUGUUGGCAGUGUGUUUUGGAUCGUUGUCUUGCUGCCUGAUGAAGUUCCUCCCAAUUAAUUUGGAUGCAUUUUUCUGUAAAUCGGCAGACAGAAUAUUUCUGUAGACUUCUGAUUUCAUUCUGCAGCUGCCAUCAUGAGUUACUUCAUCAAUAAAGAUUAGUGAGCCUGUUUCAGAAGCAGCCAUGCAAGCCCAAGCCACAACACUACCUCCACCAUGCUUGACCAAUGAGCUCAUAUGUUUUGGAUCAUGAGCAGAUCCUUUCUUUCUCCUGAAAUUGGCCUUUCCAUCACUUUGGUAGAGGUUAGUCUUGUUUCCAGAACUUUUGAGGCUCAUCUCUGUAUUUCUCUGUGAAUUCCAAUCUUGCCUUCUGAUUCUUACUGCUGAUGAGUGGUUUGCAUCUUGUGGUAUAGCCUCUGUUUCUGCUCUUGCAGUCUUCUUCGAACGGUGGAUUGUGAUAUCUUCACCUCUGCCCUGUGGAGGUUGUUGGUGAUGUCACUGACUGUUGUCUUGGGGUUUUUCUUUACAGCUCUCAUAAUGUUUCUGUCAUCAGCUGUUGUUGUUUUCUUUGCCCAACCUAUUUGGUAUCUGCACCAGUGUUUUUUUUUUCUUUUGCAGGACAUUCCAAAUUGUGGUAUUGGCUAUGCUCAAUGUUUGUGCAAUGCCUCUGGUUGAUUUUCCCUCUUUUCCUAGCUUCAAAAUGGCUUGCUUUUCUCUCAUAGACAGCUCUCUGAUCUUCAUAUUGGCUUAUCCUUUUUAACAACAAAUGCAAAUGUCUUCACAGGUGAAACUGAAGGCUAAAACCAAGAGUAGAUGUUCAGGGCUAUUUAUUGUUGAAUUUGAUAGUGGAAAUUCUAAAUUCUCUUCCCAUAUUGAUCUUUUGAUCUCAAACUCAAAGUCUACAGCAAAAAAAAAAAAAAAAAAGAAUUGGCCUUGCCUUUCUAAUAGUUUCGGAGGGGACUCUAUCACAAUCCACCACUUUAGAUGCAAAACACUCAUCAGCAGUAAGGAUCGGAAGGCCAGAUUGGAAUUAGCAAAGAAGCACAAAGAUAAGACACAAAAGUUCUUUAACCAAGAUUAACCUCUACCAAAGUAUGUAGAAAGAAAGGAUCUGCUAAUGAUUCAAAACAUACAAGCUCAUCGGUCAACCACAGUGGAGGUAGUGUCAUGGCUGCUUCUGGAACAGGCUCACUAACCUUUAUUGAUGUAACUCAUGAUGGUAGCAGCAGAAUGAAUUAAGAAGUCUACAGAGUCAUUCUGUCUAGAAAUGCACCCAAACUAAUUGGGAGGAACAUCAUGCAGCAAGACAAUGACCCAAAACACACUGCCAACACAACAGAGGACUUCAUCAGGGGAAACUGUGGAAGGUUUUAGGCAAAGUCAAUCACCAGACCCUAACUCAACUGAGCAUGCAUUUCACCUCCUGAAGAGGAGACUGAAGGGACUGAAAGAAGCUGCAGUAUAAGCCCGGAAAAGCAUCGCAAAAGAAGAAUGCAACAGUUUGGUGGUGUCAGUGGGUCGCUGCCUUGAUGUCGUUAUUACGAGCAAGGGAUAUGCAACCAACUAUUAAGUGUUAUUGACUUUAAUUGACUUUACUUUACUUUACCACUUUACUGACUGUUAUUGACUUUACUUUACUUUACCACUACCUUUGUUCACCUAAAAAUUGGGUGGUCUGACACCAAAGGUUCCAUGUUCUAAGUUGUUUAACACAUGUAGAUGUAAAUAUCAUGAAAUUAAAUCUGAAAGUUUGGAAACAA